UCUUCAUGGAAGAGAAUGAAUAAAGUUAAUUUCCGCCGUUGGGGUGUUCUUUUGCUACUUUUGUAUGCAUUUAUGAUUACGAGAAUAACGAAAUAUGAAAAAUGAGUGGAAAAUAAGGGAGUUCUUCUGCUACUUUUGUAUGCAUUUAUGAUUACGAGAAUAAUGAAAUAUGAAAAAUGAGUGGAAAAUAAGCGAAUUCGGAGAUAGAAAAUUGGCUUGGACUUGGCAGGGUGGAUAAGACAGUAACAUGUAGGGUUAAAGAGAUUGA
rnacentral:lncRNA from 1 species